rnacentral:misc_RNA from 1 species
GGANGAMASVACCCUGAAAAGUUUUGAAUUCCUCCCGCWGGGCCGGACWUCAGGCGUCCUUUGCUCGGAUUUUGGSUGSCUAYYGUUCCGCCCUCGGGAGAAUUUYUCCGYGCUUGUCCCCGGCAGGAUGGUGGGACAACUAUCUGUGACCCCCAAGCAAACGUGCCCUCGAACAGAAGGCUUGGGGCGCAGCUUGCGUUCAAAGACACAAUGGGUUAGGGGAUUCUGCGUUUCACACUUUAUAUCCCAAUUCGAUUCUUUCUUCCUCGAUGCKAGAGCCUAGAUAUCCKUUGCAAAGAAUCGUUUUGCACUUUAAAUUGUGAAUUGNCUUCCCCACAAACACCGUCUCCGGUUU